rnacentral:rRNA from 1 species
GAACCGGAUUAGAUACCCGGGUAGUCCUAGCCGUAAACGAUACUCGCUAGGUGUCGGCCACGGUGCGACCGUUGUCGGUGCCGUAGGGAAGCCGUGAAGCGAGCCACCUGGGAAGUACGGCCGCAAGGCUGACACUUAAAGGAAUUGGCGGGGGAGCACCACAACGGGUGGAGCAUGCGGUUUAAUUGGAUUCAACGCCGGAAAUCUUACCGGGACCGACAGCAAUAUGAAGGCCAGGCUGAAGACUUUGCCGGAUUAGCUGAGAGGUGGUGCAUGGCCGUCGUCAGUUCGUACUGUGAAGCAUCCUGUUAAGUCAGGCAACGAGCGAGACCCACGCCCACAGUUGCCAGCGUACUCUCUGGAGUGACGGGUACACUGUGGGGACCGCCGCUGCUAAAGCGGAGGAAGGAAUGGGCAACGGUAGGUCAGUAUGCCCCGAAUAUCCCGGGCUACACGCGAGCUACAAUGGUUGGUACAAUGGGUAUCUACCCCGAAAGGGGACGGGAAUCUCCUAAAACCAAUCUUAGUUCGGAUUGAGGGCUGCAACUCGCCCUCAUGAAGCUGGAAUCCGUAGUAAUCGCGUUUCAACAGAACGCGGUGAAUACGUCCCUGCUCCUUGCACACACCGCCCGUCAAACCACCCGAGUAGGGUCUGAAUGAGAGCGCUUUCUUUGGAGGCGUUCGAAUUUGGGCUUUGCAAGGGGGGUU